AGGCACGAAAGCGUGGGGAGCAAAUAGGAUUAGAUACCCUAGUAGUCCACGCCGUAAACGAUGAGGACCAAGUGUUGGGGGUGAAACCUCAGUGCUGAAGUUAACGCAGUGAGUCCUCCGCCUGGGGAGUAUGCACGCAAGUGUGAAACUCAAAGGAAUUGACGGGGGCCCGCACAAGCGGUGGAGUAUGUGGUUUAAUUCGAAGCAACGCGAAGAACCUUACCAGGCCUUGACAUGGGAUGCGAAGACGCAGAGAUGCGUUGGAGGUCAACAUCCACACAGGUGGUGCAUGGUUGUCGUCAGCUCGUGUCGUGAGAUGUUGGGUCAAGUCCCGCAACGAGCGCAACCCUUGUGGCAUGUUGCUAACAGGAAAGCUGAGGACUCAUGCCAGACUGCCGGUGACAAACCGGAGGAAGGCGGGGAUGACGUCAAAUCAUCAUGCCCCUUAUGGCCUGGGCUACACACGUACUACAAUGGCGGCUACAAAGAGCGGCGAGACAGGGAUGUCGAGCGAAUCUCAUAAAAGCCGUCCCAGUUCGGAUUGGAGCCUGCAACCCGGCUCCAUGAAGUUGGAAUCGCUAGUAAUCGCGGAUCAGCAUGCCGCGGUGAAUACGUUCCCGGGCCUUGCACUCACCGCCCGUCAAG
rnacentral:rRNA from 1 species